rnacentral:rRNA from 1 species
GAGCAAUGUGCCCUUGACUCUGGGAUAAGCGCUGGAAACGGCGUCUAAUACCGGAUACGACGACCGGAGGCAUCUCCUGGUCGUGGAAAGAACUUCGGUCAAGGAUCAGCUCACGGCCUAUCAGCUAGUUGGUGAGGUAACGGCUCACCAAGGCGACGACGGGUAGCCGGCCUGAGAGGGUGACCGGCCACACUGGGACUGAGACACGGCCCAGACUCCUACGGGAGGCAGCAGUGGGGAAUAUUGCACAAUGGGCGCAAGCCUGAUGCAGCAACGCCGCGUGAGGGACGAAGGCCUUCGGGUUGUAAACCUCUUUUAGCAGGGAAGAAGCGAAAGUGACGGUACCUGCAGAAAAAGCACCGGCUAACUACGUGCCAGCAGCCGCGGUAAUACGUAGGGUGCAAGCGUUGUCCGGAAUUAUUGGGCGUAAAGAGCUCGUAGGCGGUUUGUCACGUCUGCUGUGAAAACCCGAGGCUCAACCUCGGGCUUGCAGUGGGUACGGGCAGACUAGAGUGCGGUAGGGGAGAUUGGAAUUCCUGGUGUAGCGGUGGAAUGCGCAGAUAUCAGGAGGAACACCGAUGGCGAAGGCAGAUCUCUGGGCCGUAACUGACGCUGAGGAGCGAAAGCAUGGGGAGCAAACAGGCUUAGAUACCCUGGUAGUCCAUGCCGUAAACGUUGGGAACUAGAUGUGGGGACCAUUCCACGGUCUCCGUGUCGUAGCUAACGCAUUAAGUUCCCCGCCUGGGGGAGUACGGGCCGCAAGGCUAAAACUCAAAGGAAUUGACGGGGGGCCCGCACAAGCGGGCGGAGCAUGGCGGA